rnacentral:lncRNA from 1 species
GCAAAGUUGGUGUUACCCAGACAGACAAUCACUUUUUUUUCUACAAAUGUAUUUUUAUUCUGUUCCUCCCCCGUUGUCAAUAAACAAGUUUAUCAUGUUUGUAUAGAAUGCGGGUGCAUUCCGUUCUGUUGGUUACCAAGACAAACACAGUACUGAAGAAUCCCUCAAAGCAUCCCUGGUUUGGAUGAAAGCCCGGGAACAGAAGAGCUCAUCCUCAAGAGCACUAUCAGAUCUCAGCCUCUAUGGUAUUUAAAAGGGCUUGGAAAAUUUGUUUGAGAAAAUACCAAGGAUGUGAAAACAACAAAGUGAAAAAUAAAAUCUUUAUCUAGCACAAGCACAUUGAGGGACCGGACUUGAGCUGAUGUGAAGAAAACUUCACCUCCGAAGCACAGAGUGUAUUUUGGUUCUGUUGCACAACCUGUUGUGCUCCACAAGACCACGUCUGUCCAUGGCUGCAGUGUUUGUUAAUGCAGAAGAGAAUUCUUCAUGGGGUCUGUGAAAUGAGGAGUGCACAGCUAAGGAUUAACAGACUGCUUGAUGUCCUAAACUGGACUCAUUAAUCUUAACAGACCUGAAAGAAGUUGAGAAGGGGA